rnacentral:rRNA from 1 species
UACAACUUUCAACAACGGAUCUCUUGGCUCUCGCAUCGAUGAAGAACGCAGCGAAAUGCGAUAAGUAAUGUGAAUUGCAGAUUUUCAGUGAAUCAUCGAAUCUUUGAACGCACCUUGCGCUCCUUGGUAUUCCGAGGAGCAUGCCUGUUUGAGUGUCAU